rnacentral:misc_RNA from 1 species
AAGAAGCGUGGCGCUGCUUUUUAAGCGGCCCACCAACCCACUCUUGUGCAACGUACGGUACCCUGCGGCGGUCUGUGGGCCGCCGCAAAGGGCUUUGGCCCCUCGGGGCCUUGGCCCGACCAACACGUCUGAGCAAAGUCUGAUCUAAUUAAACGAACAAUGGUUAAA